UACCUCGCGUUACCGGGCCACGCAAGUUUCCCAACACUAACUCACAAACACUGAUAUAUUAUACACUUUUUGUUUUGCAAAUUACUUUUGUAUAAUCGACUUCAUCAAGUGGUUGCCUGUUUACAAGCCGAACAGAAAAACAGCAGAAUGAAAUUAUUAAAUAUAAUAACAUAUUUUAUAUAUGUUGCAUUAUGUGUCCUCUCAUUCGAUCAUAUUGUCACACAAGCUCAAGUCCUCAAAGAAGAUGGUAAUGGUCCAUUCAAGAAAUCACCUCCCGGUAAACUUGCCAAUAAAGAUGGUGGCAAAAAAACCGCAACAAUUUGAAAUGACACACGGCACAACAUUUGAAUUAUGAAUAUAUUAUGAUCUUUCAAGUAAUAACAGAAAAAAAUAUAAAUAUUAAAAAUGUAUCAUUGAUUUUAGUAAAACAAUAAAUGUCUUUAAAUGAAAAUACACUUUUUAGUACACACGAACAGUGAUAACUAUAAAAUAUAAACAUGUGAAAUUUAAUAUAAAUAUGAUUCAAAUUUAA